UCAUAGCAACUAACAGUGUGACAAUAUCAGUUGCAGCAUCAAGCCGGUGGCUGGAGGGUAUUCGAAAAUGGUACUACAAUGCUGCAGGGUUCAAUAAACUGGGGUUAAUGAGAGAUGAUACAAUAUAUGAGAAUGAUGAUGUGAAAGAGGCCAUAAGAAGGCUUCCUGAGAACCUUUAUAACGACAGGAUGUUUCGCAUUAAGAGAGCACUGGACCUGACCAUGAGGCAUCAGAUCUUGCCUAAAGAGCAGUGGACAAAAUAUGAAGAGGAUAAAUUCUAUCUUGAACCAUAUCUGAAAGAAGUUAUUCGGGAAAGAAAAGAGAGAGAAGAAUGGGCAAAGAAAUAAUGAUGGAGUUGAAAUCUGUGGUUGCAGCUGCCCUCAAAUAUUUUUAAGAAUCUGAUAAUCAUUCAACCAAGCGUCCAGUGUGCACUUUUACAAGGAGACCAGAGCUGAAGCACCUCCCACAGGACCCCUACAAAGGAUGACAACACCUUAGAGGUUUAUGGCCAUCAGGAGAAUUUACAACUAAGCUAUAUACUGAUGUAAUGAAAUCUAAUAUAUGCUGUGCAAUGAAUUAUGAGAUGUUAUUUAGUUUCAGGAUUUUAUUACUUCAAUCAGUUAUGACCAUAUUUCCUUUUAUAUGAUUGCUCACUCUUUAAACAUACCAGAUGACUGUAUAAGGAACACCUAAUAAAGUCUAUAGAUGUUAAAAUAUAAAUGUUUUAAUUUAUUUGCCAUAAUUUGUUUAAAUUCUGGUUAUACUGGUGUUCACAUUAAAAGUCAUAACAUGUUAGAAUCUGAGAUCUCAGACUGGAUGGUGCCUCUGAAUUAUAUUUUGCUAAGAAAUGUCAUUGUAUGUAUUAGCAAUUGAGCAGGGAAGAAGAGUGGAAUCAUUACAAGGCAGUUAGUUUUGAGCAUAGAUUCCAGAAAGUCUGUUAAUAUUUGAGAGGUUUAUGUAUUAUGACAAACUAUUUAGAUUGUUAUUCUGGAUUCUGACUCUAUCUCUCCUACAGUCAAAAGUAUGUAUUAUUUGUUUUACUUUGUAUUUUAAUACAUUUGCCUAUUUUUGCAUAAAUGCCAAAAAUGUAAUUUCAAAAUAAAUCCCUG